rnacentral:piRNA from 1 species
UAAGGGUAGGAACUCCUGAAGGAGAGUU